UUAGUUUUUUAACUCAUUAUCAAUUUAUCAUAACCUAAAAAGAGUGUAUUACCAUUCUGUAAUUUAUUUUUAAUUUGUUUAUUGUUUAUACCUUAUUUAUUUAAUAAAAAAAAUAAUAAAUAAAAUAGAUUAUUUUACUUUCACCUAUAAAUACCCGUAUUCCCACCUAUACCCUACCCAUCUUCCCCUUCUUUUUCUCCCUAAAAUCUGGUUAUUUGUUCUUCUUGAUACAAAUUAAGCCCACUUUUCAACAACAUCUUCUAUUAUUUGAUGUCGUUCCUUUUUGGUUUUGUCAAACCAUAAAGACUUCAAACCCUAGAACGUAAUCAGUGUUCCGUCUCCCUUCAACUACUCAUAAAAUAUGAACAAUCGAAAGGAAGAAACUUGAAAUUGAAGCGCAUGAUUCGACCUACAACUCAAAAUCAAGCUUCGAGAGAUCAGAUGCAUAAAAGUGAUUUGGAAGGAUAUUUUGGUAGAUUGAAGACAAGCCUGUGUAACUUAUUAAGGGUAAAAUGGUGUAAUUUGUAAAGGGUAAAAUGGGAACUCUCAUUCCUUGGAGAGAUGGAAUGAAAAACACGCUAGUUAAUGGAAUGACAUUCAUGACUCUGGAUCCUCCAUAAAUUCUUUCUCUCCCUCUUUCUUUUCGUGGCCCUGGUUCCCUGUUACAAGAUUUCAUCAAGUUCGAUUUCCAUGUUCCAUUUUGAUUCUCUUUUGAUUUUGCAAUUUGUGUCUGGAUGCAAAUGCUCAUUUUAUGUUUAAUUUUGAGGUUUGAUUACAAGAAUACGAGGUUUGGUUUUCAGUUUUGAUUUGGUUUUAGUUUUGAGUUUUGAAUUCACAAUUUAUUCUCUAUGUUGAUUUUGGUUUUAGUUU